GACGAGCCUCACAAACGUUAUUCGGAAUUACUGGGCUUAAAGGGUGCGUAGGCGGCGCGGAAAGUUGGGUGUGAAAUCCCUCGGCUCAACCGAGGAACUGCGCCCAAAACUACCGUGCUCGAGGAAGAUAGAGGUGAGCGGAACUCACGGUGGAGCGGUGAAAUGCGUUGAUAUCGUGAGGAACACCCGUGGCGAAAGCGGCUCACUGGGUCUUUUCUGACGCUGAUGCACGAAAGCUAGGGGAGCGAACGGG
rnacentral:rRNA from 1 species